rfam:Arabis alpina cultivar Pajares Aa.chr7_contig_4701, whole genome shotgun sequence.
GUGGCUGUAGUAUAGCGGUUAGUAUCCCACGUUGUGGCCGUGGGGACCUGGGCUCGAAUCCCAGCAGCCACA